GUAGGUGGCAAGCGUUGUCCGGAAUUAUUGGGCGUAAAGCGCGCGCAGGUGGUUCUUUAAGUCUGAUGUGAAAGCCCCCCGGCUCAACCGGGGAGGGUCAUUGGAAACUGGGGAACUUGAGUGCAGGAGAGGAAAGUGGAAUUCCACGUGUAGCGGUGAAAUGCGUAGAUAUGUGGAGGAACACCAGUGGCGAAGGCGACUUUCUGGCCUGUAACUGACACUGAGGCGCGAAAGCGUGGGGAGCAAACAGGGAUUAGAUACCCUGGUAGUCCACGCCGUAAACGAUGAGUGCUAAGUGUUGGGGGGGUUUCCCGCCCCUCAGUGCUGCAGCUAACGCAUUAAGCACUCCGCCUGGGGAUACGGUCGCAAGACUG
rnacentral:rRNA from 1 species